rnacentral:rRNA from 1 species
AGUGAACGCUGGCGGUAGGCCUAACACAUGCAAGUCGAACGGCAGCACAGUAAGAGCUUGCUCUUACGGGUGGCGAGUGGCGGACGGGUGAGGAAUACAUCGGAAUCUACUUUUUCGUGGGGGAUAACGUAGGGAAACUUACGCUAAUACCGCAUACGACCUACGGGUGAAAGCGGGGGAUCUUCGGACCUUGCGCGAUAGAAUGAGCCGAUGUCGGAUUAGCUAGUUGGCGGGGUAAAGGCCCACCAAGGCGACGAUCCGUAGCUGGUCUGAGAGGAUGAUCAGCCACACUGGAACUGAGACACGGUCCAGACUCCUACGGGAGGCAGCAGUGGGGAAUAUUGGACAAUGGGCGCAAGCCUGAUCCAGCCAUACCGCGUGGGUGAAGAAGGCCUUCGGGUUGUAAAGCCCUUUUGUUGGGAAAGAAAAGCAGCAGGUUAAUACCCCGCUGUUCUGACGGUACCCAAAGAAUAAGCACCGGCUAACUUCGUG